ACCAUGCAGGGCAAAGUCGAGAGAGGCGUGCCUCCUACUAGAGAACUUUGGCCGCAGCUUGUUACCAGCUUAGACAACGACCAGGGACAGUGAGCAGACCAUGGAGAAGCAUCGGGUCCUGAGUUUGAGGAAGACAGGAAAAUAGCCUGCUCCUGCUGGGAGAGCUGAUGAUGGCCAAUGAGAUGAGGGGGUCCAGCAGAGGUCACAGGUCAGUAGGCAGCCCCGAACGCUGAACCUCAACACAGCCCAGAUGUCCAUCAAAGGUCAGGGGUGGUCUUGUCAAAGCUCCAUCCUCCACCACAGGUCAGCAAAGUACGAAGACCACUGUACAGUGCUGCCCUGUCCCAGAUCAUGGAAUCUCCCAAACUCUGCUGCUUGCCACCAUCGGUAAGCACCAAAACACUCUUGCCUGGAGGAUCUGUGUCGCUCUGACAUACAGACGCUUGCUUCGGAUUACAAAACCAGGACUUGGAGACUAAACCAGUCAUGGCCUCACGUAUGUUGGAGAAGCUCUCUAACCACUGGAAUUACAUCUCCAGACCUUUUAAAAAAUUUAGAUUGCUGAGUGUAGUGGAGCAUGUCUUUAAUCCCAGCACUUCAGAGGCAGAGGCAGGAGGGUUUCUGUGAGUUCAAGGCCAUCCUGGUCCACCUAAUAAGUUCCAGGCCAGCCAGGGCUAUAUAGUGAGACCCUCCCUCAAAACAGACAGGGCUUGGAAAGAGGGAUCAACAGUUAAGAACCCUGACUGCUCUUCUAGAGGACUGGGUUUGGUUCCUGGUAGACACACAGUGGCUCCCAACGGUCUGUAACUCCAGUUCCAAGGGAUCCAUCGACCUCUUCUGAGCUCCGCAGGCACCAGGCAUGCACACGGCACACUUACAUAUGUGCAGGCAGUACACUCAUACACGUAAAAAUAAAAAUGUAAUAUUUUCUAGCCAGGGGGUGGUAGUGAACACCUUUAAUCCCAGCACUCAGGAGGCAGAGGCAGGCGGAUCUCUGUGAGGUUCGAGGCCAGCCUGGUCUACAGAGCGAGAUCCAGGACAGCCAGGAUUAUUUAUAUAACAGUCUCUAUGAGAAACCUUGUCUGGGAAAAUGAAAAAAAAAUCUAAAAAUAAAUAAAACAACAAAAAAGGCAUCUUCAGAGGAACUUUGUCAGGGCAAAGUCACCAGAGCAGGGUCAGAUGUCACCGGUCUUUUGGUCACGGUUCUCUGAUAGAGGACAAGCCCGCUGUCAAUGUCAGCGGGUGCAGAGAAAGAAAAGCCCUCGGAAGCUGGGCCUGGUAGCACCAACCCUCUGAAAGCUGAGGCAGGAGAUUUGCUGCAAACGUAAGAGCGUCCUAGGUGAGAGAGCUAGUCUCCUGUCUCAGACAAAUGAAACAAAAAGAACAGGACUUUGGGAGAGGAUGGUGGACGGGGACAGAAUACUCCUCACUCUGCACGAGGAGACAACGUGUUCUCUAUAAUGACAGGUCACUGUGCCCUCCUUCAGUCUCCUCAGAGAAGAAAGCUGGAGUCUCUCAGCAGCUCACUGCAGACCCUCACAUCACCCUACAGCUUGGUAGGCUUGGGUGCCCGAGCCACACCCGCCAUCCACAGCUCCCCAACUUUAGGGUUUCAGGGGCAGUUAGUGUAUCAGGAGCUCUCUGCUGCCAGCAUCAUUUAAAAACCUACUUAAUACACACAUAAUACAUCUAGACAGGGCCUCACUCUGUAAUCCAGGCAGGCUCCAAGCUUGCCAUCCUCCUGCCUCAACUUCACAAGCAUAGGGGUUACAGUUGUCUAGCCCAGCUGUACCCUGCAAUUUAAAACUGUGGCAGCGUUAUUCCGUAUUGUGCUUCCUGGUCACUGCCACAGGUUCUUCCCAAUCAGAAGUCGCACACGCACACUAUACACAGGAUAGCCCCCCUCCUCUCUCUCUCUCUCUCUCUCUCUCUCUCUCUCUCUCUCUCUCUCUCUCUCACACACACACACAACACACACACACACACACACACUAUACACAGGUUAGCCCAUGUCUAUGUAAUUCUACAGCACGUUCUCAGACUCGACAACCACCACUACUCCCAAAUCCCAACACUCGAUACUGUUCUUCACACUGCCCCAGGCCACAGCAACCAAACCACACACCCUCCCCCGCAGACGCUGCCUCUGCCAUCUCCCGCCUCACCCCCACACACCCCACCCCUCCCCGGAUCUCAGGCUCUCCGCUGCUCAGCCCUCCCUCCUCCCUGCCACCUCCUCGGAACUGCAGGGUGGACCCUACAGCAGCAACCGCCCCCGCCGCAGCCAAUCAGCGACUGCCGCACACCCCGGCCUUGGCCAAUCCACAGCAGCCUCGCAGUUCCACCCCCUACCUGGGGUGCGGGGAACGCUGCUGCGCCCGUGCCCAACCUGGGGAGUGUCCAGGGCCUGUUCUUUCCCCAGCGCACCCCCGCAGUGUCCUUCAGUCCCGAACCCAGCAAUGCAAGCCCCAGCCUCCUCCCUCUGACCCACAUGUCUCAACUCCACACCACCUCAGCGCUCAAGAUUCUUCCUCCAGCCUCCUCACUAUCGCACUGGCAAAGAGCGCAAAACUCCUCUCCCCUAAGGGCCAAGAAUAAAGGCAGGCUCCUUCAUUAGCCACCAAUUACCACUUAAUUUAUUCUCCCCAGCGGGCCUUUUAAUUUGCGCCCAGGUGAAGCAGAACUGCGCUCCCUAGCGACAGAAGGUAGCACCUCUCGCUCCUGCUGCAAGGUCUCCUGGAGUUCUUCAGGGGUCAGGAAUACCCACGUGGCCUAAGGUAGCUGGGAAGGAGACAAUGCUAGUGUGGACAGACUUGUGUAAAGAACAGGAAAUAAAUAUGAUAGUUCCUUUCUGGA